rnacentral:RNase_P_RNA from 1 species
GGAGUCGGCCAGGCAAUCGCUGCGCGCAAGCGUGGAGGAAAGUCCGGGCUCCGCAGGGCAGGGUGCCAGGUAACGCCUGGGCGUCGCGAGGCGACGGAACAGUGCAACAGAAACACACCGCCGAUGGCCGUCCGCAAGGGCGGAUCAGGUAAGGGUGAAAUCGUGCGGUAAGAGCGCACGGCCGGGCUGGCAACAGUCCCGGCGGGCAAACCCCACCCGGAGCAAAGCCAAAUAGGCAGGCAUUGAGGCGGCCCGCCGAGCCUGCGGGUAGGCUGCACGAGGCGGCGAGCGAUCGCCGUCCCAGAUGAAUGAUUGCCUCGGGUCGCAAGACCUCAGACAGAACCCGGCUUAUCGGCCGACUCCCACC